GCGCCUGUAGCUCAAUGGAUAGAGCGUCGGACUUCGGAUCCGAUGGUUGCGGGUUCAAGUCCUGCCAGGCGCGCCA
rnacentral:tRNA from 8 species